CAGGCUGGUCGGGCAGUUGCGGUCCUGCGUUGUCGGGAUCGAGGAAAGUCCGCACUCCAUAGAGCACGGCGUCGGAUAGCACCCGGGGCGGGGAAGUCCCGUCACUUGUGACGGGAACACGCUGAAAGGCGUGAACCUGCCGGAUAAGGGCCACAGAAACAAACAGCUUUCCACCCUUUGGGGUGAAAGUGAUGGUGAAAAGGUGGUGUAAGAGACCACCGGCGCGCGCAGUAAUGCGUGUGGCCAGGUAACCCCCGCCGGGAGCAAGGCCAAGCAGGGACGAAAUCGUCUGUGGACGAUGGGAGACGGCUCGUCUUCGCAAGUGCCUUUCCCUCUUGUGGGAAAGGCCAGUCCCGGGUAGGCUGCAUCGAGCGAUGUGGUGACACAUCGCCCAGAGAGAUGACUGCACAAGCGGAGCAAUCCGCCGGACAGAAUGCGGCUUAUAGACCAGCCUGAGAC
rnacentral:RNase_P_RNA from 1 species